UACGGAGGGUGCAAGCGUUAUCCGGAAUCACUGGGUUUAAAGGGUGCGUAGGCGGUUUGAUAAGUCAGAGGUGAAAGCUAGCAGCUUAACUGUUAAAUUGCCUUUGAUACUGUCAGACUUGAAUCAAGUUGAGGUAGGCGGAAUGUGACAUGUAGCGGUGAAAUGCAUAGAUAUGUCAUAGAACACCAAUUGCGUAGGCAGCUUGCUGGGCUUGAAUUGACGCUGAGGCACGAAAGCGUGGGGAUCAAAUAGG
rnacentral:rRNA from 1 species